UGGGGAAUCUUGCACAAUGGGGGCAACCCUGAUGCAGCGACGCCGCGUGAGCGAUGAAGCCCUUCGGGGCGUAAAGCUCUUUCGACCGGAACGAUAAUGACGGUACCGGGAGAAGAAGCUGCGGCUGACUACGUGCCAGCAGCCGCGGUAAUACGUAGGCAGCAAGCGUUGUUCGGAGUUACUGGGCGUAAAGAGUGCGUAGGCGGUUUUCUAAGUUCGGUGUGAAAUCUCCCGGCUUAACUGGGAGGGUGCGCCGAAGACUGGGAAGCUGGAGUGUGGGAAAGGCAGGCGGAAUUCCUGGUGUAGCGGUGAAAUGCGUAGAUAUCAGGAGGAACACCGGCGGUGUAGACGGCUUGCUAGACCAUAACUGACGCUGAGGCACGAAAGCGUGGGUAGCAAACA
rnacentral:rRNA from 1 species